ACGUAGGAGGCAAGCGUUAUCCGGAUUUACUGGGCGUAAAGCGGGUGUAGGCGGUCCGCCAAGUCAGAUGUGAAAUCUCCCGGCUUAACUGGGAGGGGUCAUUUGAUACUGACGGGCUGGAGUGCAGCAUAGGAAAGCGGAACUCCCGGUGUAGUGGUGAAAUGCGUAGAUAUCGGGAAGAACACCAGUGGCGAAAGCGGCUUUCUGGGCUGUUACUGACGCUGAGACCCGAAGGCGUGGGGAGCAAACA
rnacentral:rRNA from 1 species